rnacentral:rRNA from 1 species
UACAGAGGUCUCAAGCGUUGUUCGGAUUCAUUGGGCGUAAAGGGUGCGUAGGUGGCGCCGUAAGUCAGGUGUGAAAUUUCGGAGCUUAACUCCGAAACUGCAUUUGAUACUGCGGUGCUUGAGGGCUGGAGAGGAGACUGGAAUUCACGGUGUAGCAGUGAAAUGCGUAGAUAUCGUGAGGAAGACCAGUGGCGAAGGCGGGUCUCUGGACAGUUCCUGACACUGAGGCACGAAGGCCAGGGGAGCAAACGGG